CAGCCGCCGCGGGAAUACGUAGGUGGCAAGCGUUGUCCGGAAUUAUUGGGCGUAAAGGGCUCGCAGGCGGUUUCUUAAGUCUGAUGUGAAAGCCCCCGGCUCAACCGGGGAGGGUCAUUGGAAACUGGGAAACUUGAGUGCAGAAGAGGAGAGUGGAAUCCCACGUGUAGCGGUGAAAUGCGUAGAGAUGUGGAGGAACACCAGUGGCGAAGGCGACUCUCUGGUCUGUAACUGACGCUGAGGAGCGAAAGCGUGGGGAGCGAACAGGAUUAGAUACCCCAGUAGUCCCUGUCUCUUAUAC
rnacentral:rRNA from 1 species